GUGUUUCGAGUUGCGUGGUCGUGCGGAGUUAUAUUUACCAAAUUUAAAUAUAAUCGUUUUCAAAAUUAAAUCAAUAUGGCUACUGGGUGUAAAAGAUAAAUCUUAUUCUAUCUGUUCUUAAUGAGUUUUAGAUAAUUUUAGUUGUAUUUCUUUGUAAUUUUGUGUUGUACAAAGAUUAAUUUAACAUUUUCUCUGGAAGUAUUAAUUUAGAAAGAUAAUAUGCUUCAUUGGUGUUGUGUUUUGAAGUGUGAAAUGCAAAGUAAUUGUGAUAAAGUAAAGAUAAAGUUCACUUUUAAACUGAACUAAAUAAGGUAUCUGAGAGACAACAAUGGUUAAAUGCAAUACAAUGUACAGGUUUUACUAGCGAAAGAAAAUUUUCCUGUCCUGUCUGCUGUAAUCAUUUUAUAUCUGGAAAACCAGCCGACUUAAUCGAUAACAACAAUCUCCAGAUUGGGUUCCUUCAAUAAAUAUGGUCUAUAAACACAAUGAAAUAAGUUCCCCAAAAUCUAAAAUGGAGUGGUAUCAAAGGAGAAUUAAAGGGAAAAAUAUUCAUAUUGAAAUUAUUUAUAAGGCACUGGACUGUCUUAAAUUCUACAAUAAUACUAGAAUUUUAGCUGAGAGAAGUGGUCUACAAAAAACCAGGAAGGAAACGGAAUAUGUGGCUACGAAAGGCAAAAGAAAGGUUUACAAAGCAAAUGUGACACAUUUUUUUGAAAUAUUUAGGAAUAUCAGUAAAUUGCAUUAAAAAAAUGUAUGAAAAGAUUUUGUUCAAUAAAAAUGUUUAUAUUUA